rnacentral:tRNA from 1 species
AUCUUUUUAGUAUAAUAGUAUACUUGACUUCCAAUCAAGAGGUCCGAUUUAACGGAAAAGAUA